AACUGACGUCGCGACGCAUAUCAAUAAGCGGAGGAAAAGCGCAUUAAAGAUCCAGAUACCUACGCUUAGGAUGUUGAUACACGCGCGUGCUCGACUCUACACUGACGUCGCGACGCAUAUCAAUAAGCGGAGGAAAAGAAACUAACAAGGAUUCCCUUAGUAACGGCGAGUGAAGCGGGAAGAGCUCAAAUUUGAAAUCUUCAAGGUUCUACCUUGACGAAUUGUAGUUUAAAGAAGUGUUUUCUGUUAGAUGGAGUAGGCAAAAGUUCCUUGGAAUAGGGACAUCAUAGAGGGUGAGAAUCCCGUAUUUGACAUUAUUCAUUCUAGCUGUGUGAUACACUUUCAAAGAGUCGGAUUGUUUGGGAAUGCAGUCCAAAAUGGGUGGUAAAUUUCAUCUAAAGCUAAAUAUUGGCGAGAGACCGAUAGCGAACAAGUACCGUGAGGGAAAGAUGAAAAGAACUUUGAAAAGAGAGUUAAACAGUACGUGAAAUUGUCAAAAGGGAAGCGUUUGACACCAGUGUUGUUUUUCCGAAAAUCAAUUACUAAAUGCUUGAUUUGUGUUCUGAGGAGUGAUGACCUUAUCAGGCUUUCCUGCUCUUUUUCACGAAUCUUUCUGUAAUGCACUUUUCGGUUAACAAGUCAACAUCAAUUUCUUUUGUUGUAAAAGAGUAUUCGGAAGGUGGCUUUCUUUUCGGAGAAAGUGUUUAUAGCCCUAUACUUCUACAAUCGGAGAGAUUGAGGUCUGCAGCGUAGAUCCUUCGGGGUUAGAUACACUUUGUGCUAAGUUGUAGCUUUUCAUAGACAACUUGUUGACUAUGUUUAGUCAUGCGGCUUACUCGCUUAUGCUAUUUUACCUACGCUUAGGAUGUUGAGUCGUAGAGCACGCAG
rnacentral:rRNA from 1 species